ensembl:lncRNA
AUCAUUUUCAAGUGCUCUUUGAUGAGGUUACAUCAAGGAGCAAAGCGACUGCACACACACGCAGGCCAGCGCCAAAUGCUUUGCACGGCCUAUCAAUGGAGUAUUGAGGGAAGGGGAAACAUUUGCAGAAUCAGUCAAAAUAUGAAUUAGAUGUGUUUUAAAGCAAUUACGUUCCAGACUGUUGACUCGGAAUGACACAAACAUGAUCAGCCGGUACUUAGAGCCCUUCACAGCAUGGUCUGAUGGACGUGGUGAUGCCUAAUGCUACCCUUGUUGAUGUUACCCACAGUCACACGUGUGCAUGUUUUGACAGCUCUGACCUGGUGUGCUCGUACAACAGGAUGACCUGCUCCUUUCACCUUUUAAAUUGAGCGCUUGAUCCUCGGGCUGCAGAGGGAGCAACCAUAGAGAUGCCAGGGGUCAGAGCCAACGUAGAGCCUCAAGUCCAACUCCAUCAGGGGCCGGCGUCAGCCUUGUGCCUCUCCAGUGAGCCCACACCCACCACAGCUUCUCUAGAUUUUACUGGAAAUAGCGACGUCUGCUUCUUGUGAGCCUGGCCUAAUUGCACCUCUCUGUUCUCCGGUGGGUGAAAACGUGUUCAUUGCCAUGAUCUUCCCAUGAAGCCACAGAACUUAGUUAAGAGGAAUAAGAUCAGGAGGUAAAUGCUUCUGGAGCUGAAUCACCUAACUCUUGUGCUAGGUCCUAGAACUGCCAAGUUCAAUAACAGCCCCUUUGAAUCUGCAAAGGGAGAAAAAUGUCAAAGCAAGACUCAUAGCAAUCAAUGAAAGGUGAUCUUGGGACAAAUCAAAGUACUGCUGGAGAAGAGCAGUGAUGGAAAGAGCUCAUCUUUGAUUGGCUUUGGAUAGAGUAAUAAGCAAAAUUUCCCCCAUAACUAAGGUCUUAGUUAACAUACAUGAACCAGAGAUUCAGUGGAAGGUGUAUAGUGAAGGCAGCAACAACCCACAGACAUUACAAGCCAUUUGUCUUUGAGUGAGCCAUUGGGGAAGAUGAGAAAGUUCCUCUCCCCAGUGGGUGUCACAGCAAGCUUUGGCAUACCAAUGCGUUCACCCAUAUUAUCACCACAGAGCAAACCGAGGGUGUUCUUAACCAUAACACAGAGUCAAAUGCAGCCACUCCUGCAAAAUUUCACAGAAUCUGGAAAACCAGACCGCGUGAAUGUCCUUUCUUCAAAUGUGGGAAACACUAACUCAGCCAUGCUAUCCUCCACGGCACCUUCUUGAAGGAUUGUGUAUGUACCUAUCGAAAUCCCUUCGAUUUCAUGGUUUUUCACUGGCUACUGAUACCAAUGAAGUACUUCAGGAAUCUGUCCAUGCCCAUAGCAGCUGCUUUGCACCUGGUUUUAUGGGAAACUGUGAAAUGAGAUUUUCUCAAGAUUUUUUGGGGGUUGAGACUGGGCCGAGACCUGACACAUUUAAAACAACUAUAUGAAGCUUUAUUACACAAGGAAAAUCACACGCUUUGGAAGAAUUCGUGACUCGAAGUCUAAUGAACGAUCAGGACCUCAUAAUUCAUGUUCUGAUUUUUUACUGAUUUAUGAUGACUUAUUUACUUAUUUAUUUUAAUCAGAAGGGCUGAUUAUGGUGACUAAUCCCAGAAAAAUCUUUCAUGUUAAGGGUAAAUCACAG